AUAAGGGGAUGCAAGCGUUAUCCGGAAUGAUUGGGCCUAAAGCGUCUGUAGGUGGCUUUUUAAGUCUGCCGUCAAAUCCCAGGGCUCAACUCUGGCCAGGCGGUGGAGACUAAAAAGCUGGAGUAUGGAAGAGGUAGAGGGAAUUUCCGGUGGAGCGGUGAAAUGCGUAGAGAUCGGAAAGAACACCAAGGGCGAAGGCACUCUGCUGGGCCGAAACUGACACUGAGAGACGAGAGCUAGGGGAGCAAAUGGGAUUAGAUACCCCAGUAGUCCUAGCCGUAAACGAUGGAUACUAAGUGUUGUGCGUAUCGAUCCGUGCAGUGCUGUAGCUAACGCGUUAAGUAUCCCGCCUGGGGAGUACGCUCGCAAGAGUGAAACUCAAAGGAAUUGACGGGGACCAAAGCAAGUGGUGGAGCAUGUGGUUUAAUGCGAUAAUCCGCGCAAAAACUUACCAGUUCUUGUAUUUUUUUUUGAGAAAGAAAAACAAGUGUUGCAUGGCUGUCGAAAGCCCGUGUUUAAGAUAUUUGGUUUACUCCAUUAACGGGCGAAACCCUUGAUAUUAGUAUUUGUAAAAUUAUAGAUGAAUUAAACAAUACCUAAUAUGAUUAUUAAAUACGAAAGUAAUUGAAAAGGGACUAUGACAAGUCCUUAUGGCCUUUAUGAACUGGGCUACACAUGUGCUACAAUGGUUACUACAAAGAGAAGCAAUAAAGCGAUUUAAAGCAAAUCUCUAAAGGUAACCUUAGUUCAGAUUAUAGAUUGGAACUCAUCUAUAUGAAGCUGGAAUCACUAGUAAUCGUGAAUCAAAAGCGUCACGGUGAAUAAGCCUAAAGGUCU
rnacentral:rRNA from 1 species